GAUGAACGCUGGCGGCGUGCCUAAUACAUGCAAGUCGAGCGAAUGGAUUAAGAGCUUGCUCUUAUGAAGUUAGCGGCGGACGGGUGAGUAACACGUGGGUAACCUGCCCAUAAGACUGGGAUAACCCCGGGAAACCGGGGCUAAUACCGGAUAACAUUUUGAACCGCAUGGUUCGAAAUUGAAAGGCGGCUUCGGCUGUCACUUAUGGAUGGACCCGCGUCGCAUUAGCUAGUUGGUGAGGUAACGGCUCACCAAGGCAACGAUGCGUAGCCGAACUGAGAGGGUGAUCGGCCACACUGGGACUGAGACACGGCCCAGAAUCCUACGGGAGGCAGCAGUAGGGAAUCUUCCGCAAUGGACGAAAGUCUGACGGAGCAACGCCGCGUGAGUGAUGAAGGCUUUCGGGUCGUAAAACUCUGUUGUUAGGGAAGAACAAGUGCUAGUUGAAUAAGCUGGCACCUUGACGGUACCUAACCAGAAAGCCACGGCUAACUACGUGCCAGCCGCCGCCGUAA
rnacentral:rRNA from 1 species